rnacentral:rRNA from 1 species
UACGAAGGGGGCUAGCGUUGCUCGGAAUCACUGGGCGUAAAGCGCACGUAGGCGGCUUUCUAAGUCAGGGGUGAAAUCCUGGAGCUCAACUCCAGAACUGCCUUUGAUACUGGAGAGCUUGAGUCCGGGAGAGGUGAGUGGAACUCCGAGUGUAGAGGUGAAAUUCGUAGAUAUUCGGAAGAACACCCGUGGCGAAAGCGGCUCUCUGGAACGGUACUGACACUGAGGCGCGAAAGCGUGGGGAGCGAACAGG